AAUCAACGCUGGCGGCGUGCCUCAGACAUGCAAGUCGAACGCGAAAGUCCUCUUCGGGGGACAAGUAGAGUGGCGCACGGGUGAGUAACACGUAGGUAAUCUACCUUCGGAUGGGGAAUAACAACCGGAAACGGUUGCUAAUACCGCAUAAUGCAGCGGCACCUAAUGGUGACAGUUGUUAAAGGCGGGGGAUCGAAAGACCUCGCGUCUGAAGAGGAGCCUGCGGCGGAUUAGCAGUUGGUAAGGUAAUGGCUUACCAAGGCGACGAUCCGUAGCCGGCCUGAGAGGGCGGUCGGCCACACUGACACUGACAUACGGGUC
rnacentral:rRNA from 1 species